GACGAACGCUGGCGGCGUGCUUAACACAUGCAAGUCGAACGAUGAUGCCAGCUUGCUGGUGGAUUAGUGGCGAACGGGUGAGUAACACGUGAGCAACCUGCCCCUGACUUCGGGAUAACCGCGUGAAACCGUGGCUAAUACCGGAUAUGACGCGCUAUCGCAUGGUGGUGUGUGGAAAGAUUUAUCGGUUGGGGAUGGGCUCGCGGCCUAUCAGCUUGUUGGUGGGGUGAUGGCCUACCAAGGCGACGACGGGUAGCCGGCCUGAGAGGGUGACCGGCCACACUGGGACUGAGACACGGCCCAGACUCCUACGGGAGGCAGCAGUGGGGAAUAUUGCACAAUGGGCGCAAGCCUGCUGCAGCGACGCCGCGUGAGGGAUGACGGCCUUCGGGUUGUAAACCUAUUUCAGUAGGGAAGAAGGCCUUCGGGUUGACGGUACCUGCAGAAGAAGCGCCGGCUAACUACGUG
rnacentral:rRNA from 1 species